UACAGAGGUCUCGAGCGUUAAUCGGAGUUACUGGGCUUAAAGGGCGCGUAGGCGGCGCUGUAAGUGCCUUGUGAAAUCCCAUGGCUUAACCUUGGAAUUGCUCGGCAGACUGCAGUGCUUGAGGUCGGUAGGGGUCGCUGGAACUCUAGGUGGAGCGGUGAAAUGCGUAGAGAUGCGGAGGAACACCGGUGGCGAAGGCAGCCCCCUGGGCUGACACUGACGCUCAGGCACGAAAGCGUGGGGAGCAAACAGG
rnacentral:rRNA from 1 species